AGUGAACGCUGGCGGUAGGCCUAACACAUGCAAGUCGAACGGCAGCACAGUAAGAGCUUGCUCUUACGGGUGGCGAGUGGCGGACGGGUGAGGAAUACAUCGGACUCUACUUUUUCGUGGGGGAUAACGUAGGUAAACUUACGCUAAUACCGCAUACGACCUACGGUUGAAAGCAGGGGAUCUUCGGACCUUGCGCGAUUGAAUGAGCCGAUGUCGGAUUAGCUAGUUGGCGGGGUAAAGGCCCACCAAGGCGACGAUCCGUAGCUGGUCUGAGAGGAUGAUCAGCCACAUGGGAACUGAGACACGGUCCAGACUACUACGGGAGGCAGCAGUGGGGAAUAUUGGACAAUGGGCGCAAGCCUGAUCCAGCCAGACCGCGUGGGUGAAGAAGGCCUUCGGGUUGUAAAGACCUUUUGUGGGGAAAGAAAAGCAGCAGGUUAAUACCCCGCUGUUCUGACGGUACCCAAAGAAUAAGCACCGGCUAACUUCGUG
rnacentral:rRNA from 1 species